rnacentral:rRNA from 1 species
GACGUAGGGGACGAGCGUUGUCCGGAUUCACUGGGUUUAAAGGGUGCGUAGGUGGGUCUGUAAGUCAGUGGUGAAAUCUCCGUGCUUAACAUGGAACUGCCAUUGAUACUAUAGGUCUUGAAUUAUCUGGAGGUUAGCGGAAUAUGUCAUGUAGCGGUGAAAUGCUUAGAUAUGACAUAGAACACCAAUUGCGAAGGCAGCUGGCUACAGGUACAUUGACACUGAGGCACGAAAGCGUGGGGAUCAAACAGG